UCCCGGAUCGUCUAGUGGCAGGACGCGGCGCUCUGGACGCCGAGGGCGGGGUUCGAAUCCUUGUCCGGGAG
rnacentral:tRNA from 1 species